CGGGUCAAAAGAAAUAACAUGAAAUCGACGUUUCAAAUAUCGUCGAUAUAUUAGGAUAAACUUUAAAUUUGACUAUAUAAUUAUUUAGUAUAGCAGAGUGGCUAACCAAAUAAUAAUACAACGAGUCAAAGGUCUAAGUUGAUUUCGAGUGGUUUCGCCGGUACUAGAGAAUAGUAACCCUAGGAUUAAAAUUAUGGUUUUGAC
rnacentral:lncRNA from 1 species